rnacentral:lncRNA from 1 species
AGUAACACCUCGCUUCCUCCCUGCUGCAGAGACCUGGGAGGGCCCUGCCCAGCACAGCACACUGGAGUGGCCCUGCGGCAGCAUCUGGGCUGCUGUACCCAUGGUGCCUCCCAGCCCGAGGGGCUCCCGGCAGCUCUGGAGACUCCUGCUGUCACGUCACCUGGCCCCUCACCAUCACCAUCCUCAUCUCUCUUGGGAAUUAAGACAUUGAAGGAACUGCUGCUGCCAGCAAGAGAGGCUGUUGCAAGAAAGAAAGGCUGCUGCAAGAAACGCAAGAAAGGCUGCUGCCAGCAUUGCAUUUCUGUCAAGAAGCUGCCCCGCAAAAUUUAUGGAUGUAUCGCUGUAUGCACCUAAUAGCAAGCUCUACUGGAUGAAUGGCUUAUAAAGAUCUCCCCUGAAUAAAAUUGUGGUUUUUAACUUU